CAGUUCAUUACUGUUGUUCCAUCUUAUAAUAGUUGUUUGUAACAUCACUAAGUCCCAGAGCUUGAGGAACUAAUGAACUACAUAUCAACAUGGAUACCUAGCUUCUAGCCGGUGUUUAUACACAGCCUGUGUACGAUAGCGAAGCUCGUAGUUUUUAUUUUUUUUUUUUUUCAUGAGUUGACAGUAAAUAUAAACAGAUGGAACCGAUUCCCCGACAUCUUUGUAAUCCAUUAUACUAUUUAGUCUUAGAAUAAGUCCAGUAGGAAUACUCUGUUUCAGGAAGACUCAUCUGUAUAUACCCUUUAGGAAUGAAUGUUGUGGGACUCACUACAGUUAGAGUUUCUUGCUCAAUCAGACCAAGUGAAGGUUUUUAUUUUCACUACAAACUCAACAAAUACUUCAUUUAAGUGUUUUCUUGUGAGCGUCAGUUGAAGUGUAGGGUUAGAAAGUUGAGUGUGUGCAGAACAGUUGCUGCUGAUGAGGGCCUAAAGAAAGCUGCAGUUUUGCAGGUGGAACAUCAUUGGCCAUCGCGCGAGUUAAUGAAGCGUGAAAUGGAAGAGGACACACUGGAUGGAUCAUGCUUGCCGCAUUUCCUCUUGUUUACACAGAUGUAGCAUGAAGGAAUCAUGUGUUUGAGAAUGUGAAUGUUCAGGAUGACAGCUGUCUCUCCGCUGCUCGUCGGGGCAGAAAGAAUGUCUCAAAUGUUUAAAGGAAAAUAGCCACACACCUCCGAUCCGCCGAAACUUUCAUGUCGAGCAAGGUUGUGUUACCACUUAAAGACCUAGUAUGGUGCAAAAUCUUUUCUAAACCACUGAAUAUAGCUCAGUGCUAACAAAUACUCAUCUUAAUGUGGAUCAACAACUCUCUAACUCCUCUGUUGUCGAAAUUCAUGUUUACAAAUUAUUGCGAAGAAAGAUUCUAAAGUCAUGGCGGUACGAUUGUACACAAAUUAAUUAACAUAUUGUGUGAGUUUUCCCAUAGUCUAAAAUCUUAUUAAUGUAAAUGUAAUCCUGAUGUCUGUGUUGUUUCAAGAGUAGUGGAGGUCUUUGCUGUUCUUGUCCACCCUGGGCAAGUGAGUUCUCUUCUUACAGACAGCAGCCAACCAUCUUCAUCUCUUCGGCCUUUCUGACUGUCAUCUGUUUGAUUAAUGGGAAAUUAAAGACUGUCCUGGAAGUUGUAUAGAUGACUGAUGUUUCUUUUAUUGAAGACCUGAUCUUUGUGAUGAUCUGACUGCUAGGUUUUAUUAGCAAGAAAUGAGCCAACAGCUGAAGACAGAUCCGACCUCUUGUUUCUGUAUUAGCAGCCCUACAACACAGCCUCAUGUUGUCCUUCCUUCUCCGCUGCACCCUUGUAAGACCUUCGUCCUUUAAUGUUUAUUUAGACUGUAGUCUACAUUAUUAUCGUAAACCAAAGAAGUUAUCAAGUAAACAUUUUUAGAACUGGAAAGAGCUGUGUGGAUUUACAGAAACGAACCUCAUAGUACCUUCCAUGUAAGUAUACUAAGAUAAAUAUUUUUCCCUACCUUCAAGAUUCGCGUGUGUCAUUUUUACUGAAAUGUAUCCAGCUUUGGAGAUCAUAAGAAAGAUAAACGAAAAAAAAAGUUGAAGGAACUGGCUCUUGCCUGGGGGACUCUACAUGCAAGUCAAAGAUUGGAAGUGAAGAAGAGGAUGCAAAAUGUCAAACAAAUCAUCACAGGCGUGGCAUUUCACUAGACGCACCAUCAUCUACUCCAAGCACCACCAAGCAUCCUCCAGGACACCUCAAGAGAUGCUGUUGUAGAUCAAUGGACGAGAAAAACAAAUUCAUCUGUAUCCAUUGUAAUAAGUUUUAUGUGCAAAACAUAGCAAAUGGUAGUUUAACCAACGCCUACAGUAAAAAUCUCUCGAUAUAUAACUCUCACAUGUACAGUGUUGUGCAAUAUUAUUUGGAGUUUAUAAUACAUUAUAAUGUUAACUGGAAAAAAGAUUAGAACAAAGUGUUUUUAUUCUGAUAAAGUAGUAAAGUUUUUUUUACAAUAGAGUCCAACCGACCCCAAGGUGACUUGUUCAUGGUACUAGAGCAGGCUGAAGCUAGUGAGUGCUUGCUUUUUGGUUUAGUCUGAGUUAUUCUGUAAUUUUGUUGACAUUUUAUUGCUAAAUUACAGUUUGUGUUAGUAUCGUGUUAAUUCCUUAUUUUCUCACAGUGCUUUUCUCCACUGUGAUUCUUUUAAUUAGACAUAAGAAGUAAUGACUUGUCCUCAUUAGCAGCCUUUCAGAUAAGAGCUUUUUUGUGGUGAGCCGUCGGUGCAAACAAAGAAGUUCUCCCUAAUGACAAGAGAUGACAUGUGGGGCCAACUUCUGGAUUUGAAGAAAGAGCUUCCUUACCUUCUGGUCCACAAACCUCUCACCUGUCGCCACCUCAGGCCUCGUGGGGCAGAGACCAAUUUUGGAAAAGUGUGGCCAUGUUUUGAUACCUGGACAACUACAAGUAGGUGAAGAUUACCUGUAUCGGUGAAAGAACAAACUAUCUGUUUAAAUGGCUUCUCAUGAAAGUGUCUUACUCUUGUGGAGUUUGUUUAUUCUGAGUCUUAGACUACAGACGGCGUCUACUUUUGGCGAUCCAGGUACCGCAAGACAAUGGUCACCAUUGGUGACGAGAGGUGGACGCCAGGGGGCUGCUGGGAGAGUACCACGUGACUACCCGCCACCCCCACAGGUCGCCAUCACACAAUGAGACACGUGACUUGCUUAUGUCGCUGGUUUCCUUAUUGGUAUCUGUGUUGUGACAGAAAAAUUGUCAUCAAUCACUUUGAAUUGCUGCCGCAUUACAACGAAGUGUUUCCUAGACUGAGAAUAGCAGACAACCAAGUUGCUUUCCAUCCAUCCUCUUCAGCCUCGUCUGAUCCGCCAGACCUUCCCACCUACCGCCAGGCUCUUGGCUUUGUCAGUCUGCGGAAUCAAUGGCAGACAAGGAAUGGAGGAAAGGCUAAUGGCAGAGAGCUGAGUGGCACUAAGACUGGUGUCACACUCUACCUGCCAGUGUCGAGGGCCAAACCCUGGUCGCAGCAGCAGGGUGGCCUCCCUUUGUCACCGUCAAUCGAUUCACAUCGCAACUUACUGCGACCUCUGGUGGCAGAUACAGCAGCAAGCGACUCCGGCAGCAGGGAGAUGUGGCUCUAUCCAACACCUAGUUACACCCUGUCAGAUACAACUAGUUACACUAGCGACAUCGUACCACAGUGGACACCCAGUAAUGCUAGCACCACAAAGCUGAUCUCAGUUGCGGCCCCUACUAACGCUGAUAUCAUCCUCUCAGAUACAACACCUAACAACAUCCUGUCGGAUACAACACCAAGUACCGCUAACGAUAAAGAAACUUUAUCAGAUACAAAGCCUAGCAACGCCCGAGGUAAGAAAACCUCAUGGUCUACACAAACAAUCACUGGCUCCCAUGAAACCUUGUAUGACAGAACACAUAGCAACACUCUCGCCAUGGGGAGCCCCUCUGACAACACUCAGAUUAGUACUAGAAACAUAGAACUGUCGACACCUAGCAAAACAAUGUUGUCAGAGACAACAACUAGAAGCCUUACCUUGUCUCAGACAGUCCCUUUGACCUCUGUCGCCGAGGAAAUCCGACCUCAUCUAGCUCCAGGUAACACUAGAAACACAGGACUGGCAACAGGUACGAUGCCUAGCAACCAAGACACUCUGUCACGUGGCUCACCUGGAAACACUAGCAACAUGGAAAUCCUGUCUGAUGUCCUCCAUCUGACUUCGGGUACUGCACUAUGCCAUCCAAGGAAGGAAGGAAUAACUGCAGAUGUCGGGAAAACAAAAGAGGCUUCAAGUCCAGGACCGAACACACAGAGCUCCAGCAGAGUUCAAAGUCUCGAUAUAACAGAAAUUCCCUUAGUUCACGAAAGCCUGAAAAUGGUAUCAAACAGAAGUAAAGCAGGUACCGGACUCCUAAAGGCGGCUACACCUAGCACACUGGGACAGCACCAGCUUCCUGAUUCUGCAGUUUUCUCUGGAUUCCAAGAAAAAAAUAAUAUUUUAUUAGAACUAAAAUCGUCUUUUCUUGCAAGAAAUUCUGUGACCUACGAAGACAUAAUAUUACAGGAAAUAUCAACAGCAUUUAUCGCAAAUAAAUUCCUUGAGUCUGUAAACAUUCAGCCUUCUCCACUCAGCAUAUCUUUCCAGACCCCUGCACCGGCUAUGAAAAGCAAGACAGUUACUUUUGACAGACUUAACCCUCUCAGUGACCUUUCUCCUACAAGCGACCUCUUGACCUCCUUCGUGAUAAAUCCCAGUUUUGCAUUUGCAACUAUGCCUACCAUACCUGCAACACCUGCCUUUGACACUGGGCGGACCAAGGAUGUGUAUCAUCAUCACAGGAACUUAGAAGACAUGCAAUAUAAUUCUGGAGGUGAUGACAGUUUGAGUUAUCUGUUGGGUGAACACAGUUUAAAUGUUGGUCCGCUGACAUCUUCAAGGUUGGAGGACUCUCUACCUCAGCCAUCCAGACGCUUCUAUCAUUUCCCUCACAUCAUCUUCAAUUCUCGAAGAGCAGAAAGAGAGUAGUCUUUUACCUACCCCAUCAUUUCUACUGGAAAAUCAGCUUUCUUCUUUAUCUAUAUUGACAAAACUAGUUGGAGACUUAGAUCCGAUAUUUAUUGUGUCGAAACAAACAAAACUCCCAAACUCCAUGGAAUACCCACAAGAAUCUGAGGAACUCGCUUCUUCAAACAUCGUUUCACCGAAUUUAAGUGGUCGUCGUGAGAUGUUUGUUUUUUCCUCUAGUUUAUCACAAGCUCCGGCAACUUCUGCGACUACACUACUAUACAAACCUGCUCCUCCUCCAGGUAGCGAACCUUUGCGAGAAAAUUCCCAACUGAAAGUUUCCUUGGUAACCUCAGGGAUAUAUGUGACAGAUGAUUCUGAUGCCUCUUCUUCAGUUCUCCCAGUGCUGACAGUCUACAGCAAGAAGUGAGCAGUGCUUACCCUUCACCUUCUGGUACUGUAAGGUUAGACCAUGGCUGGCCCGCAGACCAUACGGGUAAGAACACCUCCACAGGUACCCCUCUGGUCCCCUCACCUGGUGUAACGGUGUCUCAGUGGAUUACAGGUACAACCGAUACCUUGGGUGCUGCUAAGGGAGGUGACUGCGGUGUGUCAUCUACCAGCUUUGCCGGCGCAGACGACCACGUAGACUUGAAGUGAAGAGCGCGAGGAGGUCAGAACGACCCGCCAGCGAGGCCGGCCAGCCUAAGUGAAAGACAGCACGUGACACACGAGGGCUCCACGUCACCUGCAGUGUCCUCUACCUCCCACCCAGGUGUAGACAAAAGUCUACCUGCAAGACAAAGUCACACCCUCAAGGUUGGAGCUGCCAUCGGGGUAGGACUAAUGUGUCUGAGUCUGGUUGUCAUGGUAAUUGUGCAUCGCAGCAGACGACGAGAACGGGGAAGAGAUGGUUUACUUCGAGAUGGAAGGCUCUUGUUACAGAGAGAUGACAACAUAAGACACUGCCUACUCAGGGCCCCGAGAUGGUACCCGGGGUAUAGCAGAGGGCUGCACAAGGCGACUGGCAGGGAAGAACUACAAGAAACUGAUCAAAUGGGAAUUUCAACUGUCUGUCACAAAAAGUAGGCAGGUGUAAAGGUGUAAAAAUGAUUGAUAAAAAUCUUUAGUAACACUCUAAUAGCUAUAUCACACUGAAAUGUUUAUCAACAGCCAUGACAUAUAUUCCAUAAUUUCUUCACAUGGUGCAUGACAUGCAUCAUUAGUACGUGUGGCAAAAGAUUUUAUUUACUUUUUUAUAUGGCCUUCCUCACUGUCACCCACUUCAACAGACAGGCCAUUUUAAAAUAGAAAAUAGAGAACAUCUAUUCGUGGAGAGCCGAGAUUGAAUUCUCGAAAGGAAAGAAGAUAAAGGAAACUAUUAAACUCGUAGAGUGUCAUUACCAGCCUCCAUCGCCCGCUCUCCCCACAGACUUAGAAGAGAGAGUGACUGUGUUUAUACCUCUCAUGACGAUCUCUUGCCGACAAAAGAGGAAGAUAACCUGAAGUUACCCAUAUAACCAGCGAAGUGCCUGGGUUCCUCCUUUGCUGCCUCACUUUAUCACAGCAGGAUCGCUGAUAUUGCAUCCAUUGUAUUCAUUUACUUCUUCAGGAAGAACAUCCUGUCCUGAAAGGUUUUAGAAAUGAAAUGAUGGCCGCCCUCGUCAUCGUCCCGCCCACAGGAGGCUAAACGGGGAAACAAGAAUUUUCUCUUCUUUGUACAAGUGCUUGUAGUCGACAGUUUGCGUUUCUUUGAUUUCACUUUUUAAUAACAGAAUUAGUUUUGAACAAAAAAAACUUUUUGAUAAGAUCGCUUUGAAGAAGUUAUUGUGAUUUGAAGGAGAAAUUGCCUGUAGGAGCAUUUGCAAAACUAAUGAGUGUAA
rnacentral:misc_RNA from 1 species